CUACACAUGCAAGUCGAACGGUAACAGGAAGCAGCUUGCUGCUUCGCUGACGAGUGGCGGACGGGUGAGUAAUGUCUGGGAAACUGCCUGAUGGAGGGGGAUAACUACUGGAAACGGUAGCUAAUACCGCAUAACGUCGCAAGACCAAAGAGGGGGACCUUCGGGCCUCUUGCCAUCGGAUGUGCCCAGAUGGGAUUAGCUAGUAGGUGGGGUAACGGCUCACCUAGGCGACGAUCCCUAGCUGGUCUGAGAGGAUGACCAGCCACACUGGAACUGAGACACGGUCCAGACUCCUACGGGAGGCAGCAGUGGGGAAUAUUGCACAAUGGGCGCAAGCCUGAUGCAGCCAUGCCGCGUGUAUGAAGAAGGCCUUCGGGUUGUAAAGUACUUUCAGCGGGGAGGAAGGCGAUAAGGUUAAUAACCUUGUCGAUUGACGUUACCCGCAGAAGAAGCACCGGCUAACUCCGUGCCAGCAGCCGCGGUAAUACGGAGGGUGCACGCGUUAAUCGGAAUUACUGGGCGUAAAGCGCACGCAGGCGGUCUGUCAAGUCGGAUGUGAAAUCCCCGGGCUCAACCUGGGAACUGCAUUCGAAACUGGCAGGCUAGAGUCUUGUAGAGGGGGGUAGAAUUCCAGGUGUAGCGGUGAGAUGCGUAGAGAUCUGGAGGAAUACCGGUGGCGAAGGCGGCCCCCUGGACAAAGACUGACGCUCAGGUGCGAAAGCGUGGGGAGCAAACAGGAUUAGAUACCCUGGUAGUCCACGCCGUAAACGAUGUCGACUUUGGAGGUUGUGCCCCUUGAGGCGUGGCUUCCGGAGCUUAACGCGUUAAGUCGACCGCCUGGGGAGUACGGCCGCAAGGUUAAAACUCAAUUGAUUGACGGGGGCCC
rnacentral:rRNA from 1 species